rnacentral:rRNA from 1 species
UACGGGGGGGGCAAGCGUUGUUCGGAAUUACUGGGCGUAAAGGGCUCGUAGGCGGCCAACUAAGUCAGACGUGAAAUCCCUCGGCUUAACCGGGGAACUGCAUCUGAUACUGGAUGGCUUGAGUUCGGGAGAGGGAUGCGGAAUUCCAGGUGUAGCGGUGAAAUGCGUAGAUAUCUGGAGGAACACCGGUGGCGAAGGCGGUGGUCUGGGCCGGUACUGACGCUGAGGAGCGAAAGCGUGGGGAGCGAACAGG